AAUCAAUAAAUAAUCAAUCUGACAGAAAAUAUUGAAUUAAUCCAGAUUUUACGUAAGAAACAGAUCAAAUAAAAAAAAAAUCAAGUUCCUCCAUCUCCACAUUGAGUAUAUACGUGAAAACGUGAUUUUGGUGAACAAAAUUGUAUCGAUUUUUCUGUGGAAAAAAAAUGACAUUGGUAUCAACUUACACACUAAUAUAAAUUCAUUCAUUUUGGUUUAUAUGCAUCCAAUAUAUGCAACAUUGUAAUGAAUUUUUUUCAUUUUAUAAACACAUGAUUCUCGUUUUUUUAAAAAACAAGUUUCACCAUCAUUUAAUUCAUCGAUGUACGAAUGGCCAUCUUUUGAGCAUUAUCGUCAGUAUUUUUAAAAUGAAAAUAAAUUUCAUUACUUCGAAACCUUUGAUCCUCUCCUCUCCUCUGCAAACAAAAACAAAAACUUUCAGGAAAAACUAUUGCUGCUGUUCCGGUAUAAUUAACUAAAAAAUUAUGUAAAAAAAAUGAUAAUUUUUCAGUCACAUUUUUGCAGAUAAAUAUAUCAUUCAUUUCAAUUCAAUUCAAUUCAAUUUGAUGGCAAAUUUUUAUCAGCCAAAAAGAUAUAUUCAAGUUAAAAAUAGUUUUUCACAUACAACAAAUCUUUUUUGGAUGUAAAAAAAUAUAUUCAAAUCGCUUUAGGCAAAACACAUCCAGAAGUAGAAAAAAAAACAGAAAAGUAAAGGUCAAACCACGAGCCAUCAUCAUCAUCAUAUGAGCCAUACAUUGAUCAUGACUCAGUCUAUCUAGUGAAAAAAAAAAUUCAUUUUUCCAUGUGUUCAAUGAUGAAUCAAUUUUCGUAUUUUUUUUUAUUACUUGCAACUAUUAUAAUUGAACGAUGCAAUAAAGAUUUGAUUGAUUGAGCAAUAAACGA